rnacentral:rRNA from 1 species
AGUGAACGCUGGCGGUAGGCCUAACACAUGCAAGUCGAACGGCAGCACAGUAAGAGCUUGCUCUUACGGGUGGCGAGUGGCGGACGGGUGAGGAAUACAUCGGAAUCUACUUUUUCGUGGGGGAUAACAUAGGGAAACUUACGCUAAUACCGCAUACGACCUACGGGUGAAAGCAGUGGAUCUUCGGACCUUGCGCGAUUGAAUGAGCCGAUGUCGGAUUAGCUAGUUGGCGGGGUAAAGGCCCACCAAGGCGACGAUCCGUAGCUGGUCUGAGAGGAUGAUCAGCCACACUGGAACUGAGACACGGUCCAGACUCCUACGGGAGGCAGCAGUGGGGAAUAUUGGACAAUGGGCGCAAGCCUGAUCCAGCCAUACCGCGUGAGUGAAGAAGGCCUUCGGGUUGUAAAGCCCUUUUGUUGGGAAAGAAAAGCAGCAGGUUAAUACCCCGCUGUUCUGACGGUACCCAAAGAAUAAGCACCGGCUAACUUCGUG